GGGUGUUCGCGUUGCAUGUCGCAACGAAACAGGUUGUUUGCGCUGGUCGGGCCGCCACG
rnacentral:ncRNA from 2 species